rnacentral:rRNA from 1 species
AUUGAACGCUGGCGGAAUGCUUUACACAUGCAAGUCGAACGGCAGCACGGGUGCUUGCACCUGGUGGCGAGUGGCGAACGGGUGAGUAACAUAUCGGAACGUGCCCAGUAAUGGGGGAUAACUAACCGAAAGGUUAGCUAAUACCGCAUACGCCCUGAGGGGGAAAGCGGGGGAUCGUAAGACCUAGCGUUAUUGGAGCGGCCGAUAUCUGAUUAGCUAGUUGGUGGGGUAAAGGCCUACCAAGGCGACGAUCAGUAGCAGGUCUGAGAGGAUGAUCUGCCACACUGGAACUGAGGCACGGUCCAGACUCCUACGGGAGGCAGCAGUGGGGAAUUUUGGACAAUGGGGGAAACCCUGAUCCAGCCAUUCCGCGUGAGUGAAGAAGGCCUUCGGGUUGUAAAGCUCUUUUGGCAGGGAAGAAACGGUUCUGGAUAAUACCCGGAGCUAAUGACGGUACCUGAAGAAGAAGCACCGGCUAACUACGUGCCAGCCGCCGCCGUAA